rnacentral:rRNA from 2 species
GACGAACGCUGGCGGCGUGCCUAAUACAUGCAAGUCGAACGAACUCUGGUAUUGAUUGGUGCUUACAUCAUGAUUUACAUUUGAGUGAGUGGCGAACUGGUGAGUAACACGUGGGAAACCUGCCCAGAAGCGGGGGAUAACACCUGGAAACAGAUGCUAAUACCGCAUAACAACUUGGACCGCAUGGUCCGAGUUUGAAAGAUGGCUUCGGCUAUCACUUUUGGAUGGUCCCGCGGCGUAUUAGCUAGAUGGUGGGGUAACGGCUCACCAUGGCAAUGAUACGUAGCCGACCUGAGAGGGUAAUCGGCCACAUUGGGACUGAGACACGGCCCAAACUCCUACGGGAGGCAGCAGUAGGGAAUCUUCCACAAUGGACGAAAGUCUGAUGGAGCAACGCCGCGUGAGUGAAGAAGGGUUUCGGCUCGUAAAACUCUGUUGUUAAAGAAGAACAUAUCUGAGAGUAACUGUUCAGGUAUUGACGGUAUUUAACCAGAAAGCCACGGCUAACUACGUGCCAGCAGCCGCGGUAAUACGUAGGUGGCAAGCGUUGUCCGGAUUUAUUGGGCGUAAAGCGAGCGCAGGCGGUUUUUUAAGUCUGAUGUGAAAGCCUUCGGCUCAACCGAAGAAGUGCAUCGGAAACUGGGAAACUUGAGUGCAGAAGAGGACAGUGGAACUCCAUGUGUAGCGGUGAAAUGCGUAGAUAUAUGGAAGAACACCAGUGGCGAAGGCGGCUGUCUGGUCUGUAACUGACGCUGAGGCUCGAAAGUAUGGGUAGCAAACAGGAUUAGAUACCCUGGUAGUCCAUACCGUAAACGAUGAAUGCUAAGUGUUGGAGGGUUUCCGCCCUUCAGUGCUGCAGCUAACGCAUUAAGCAUUCCGCCUGGGGAGUACGGCCGCAAGGCUGAAACUCAAAGGAAUUGACGGGGGCCCGCACAAGCGGUGGAGCAUGUGGUUUAAUUCGAAGCUACGCGAAGAACCUUACCAGGUCUUGACAUACUAUGCAAAUCUAAGAGAUUAGACGUUCCCUUCGGGGACAUGGAUACAGGUGGUGCAUGGUUGUCGUCAGCUCGUGUCGUGAGAUGUUGGGUUAAGUCCCGCAACGAGCGCAACCCUUAUUAUCAGUUGCCAGCAUUAAGUUGGGCACUCUGGUGAGACUGCCGGUGACAAACCGGAGGAAGGUGGGGAUGACGUCAAAUCAUCAUGCCCCUUAUGACCUGGGCUACACACGUGCUACAAUGGAUGGUACAACGAGUUGCGAACUCGCGAGAGUAAGCUAAUCUCUUAAAGCCAUUCUCAGUUCGGAUUGUAGGCUGCAACUCGCCUACAUGAAGUCGGAAUCGCUAGUAAUCGCGGAUCAGCAUGCCGCGGUGAAUACGUUCCCGGGCCUUGUACACACCGCCCGUCACACCAUGAGAGUUUGUAACACCCAAAGUCGGUGGGGUAACCUUUUAGGAACCAGCCGCCUAAGGUGGGACAGAUGAUUAGGGUG